rnacentral:rRNA from 1 species
AGCGAACGCUGGCGGCAGGCCUAACACAUGCAAGUCGAACGAACCUUUCGGGGUUAGUGGCGGACGGGUGAGUAACACGUGGGAACGUGCCUUUAGGUUCGGAAUAACUCAGGGAAACUUGUGCUAAUACCGAAUGUGCCCUUCGGGGGAAAGAUUAAUCGCCUUUAGAGCGGCCCGCGUCUGAUUAGCUAGUUGGUUGAGGUAAUGGCUCACCAAGGCGACGAUCAAUAGCUGGUCUGAGAGGAUGAUCAGCCACAUUGGGACUGAGACACGGCCCAAACUCCUACGGGAGGCAGCAGUGGGGAAUCUUGCGCAAUGGGCGAAAGCCUGACGCAGCCAUGCCGCGUGAAUGAUGAAGGUCUUAGGAUUGUAAAAUUCUUUCACCGGGGACGAUAAUGACGGUACCCGGAGAAGAAGCCCCGGCUAACUUCGUG